UGCAGUCGAACGGUAGCGCGGGGCAACCUGGCGACGAGUGGCGAACGGGUGAGUAAUAUAUCGGAACGUGCCCAGUUGUGGGGGAUAACUACUCGAAAGAGUGGCUAAUACCGCAUGAGACCUGAGGGUGAAAGCGGGGGACUCGCAAGAGCCUCGCGCAGUUGGAGCGGCCGAUAUCAGAUUAGCUAGUUGGCGGGGUAAAAGCCCACCAAGGCAACGAUCUGUAGCUGGUCUGAGAGGACGACCAGCCACACUGGGACUGAGACACGGCCCAGACUCCUACGGGAGGCAGCAGUGGGGAAUUUUGGACAAUGGACGCAAGUCUGAUCCAGCCAUGCCGCGUGCGGGAAGAAGGCCUUCGGGUUGUAAACCGUUUUUGUCAGGGAAGAAACGGCUCGGGUUAAUACCUUGGGCUAAUGACGGUACCUGAAGAAUAAGCACCGGCUAACUACGUGCCAGCAGCCGCGGUAAUACGUAGGGUGCAAGCGUUAAUCGGAAUUACUGGGCGUAAAGCGUGCGCAGGCGGUUAUGCAAGACAGAUGUGAAAUCCCCGGGCUCAACCUGGGAACUGCAUUUGUGACUGCAUGGCUAGAGUACAGACGAGGGUGGCGGAAUGGACGGUGUAGCGGUGAAAUGCAUAGAUACCGUCCAGAACCCCGAUUGCGAAGGCAGCUGCCUAGACUGUAACUGACGCUGAGGC
rnacentral:rRNA from 1 species